rnacentral:lncRNA from 1 species
CCCAAAUUAAAACCCAGGUUCAAGAUGAUGCCGUGUGGCGAGGGAACAGCGCCGCCUAUUCCUUGCGUCGCGUAUUGGAGAACCUGCUGGGGAAGGUGACACUGCAGCGCUGGGACUCAACUAUGACGCUCUUCCGUGAUCCCCGGUCACAACUGCUCCAGAUGGACAACAGGAGGAUAAGUUUCUCGAACGCCAGAAUGGCCACGGGGGAAGCUGACAGACGAUUUGGAGACGGACCGAGCCGGGACAAGCGGGACCCAUGGAAAAGAUGCAAAAUCGUCCAUCACAACCUCAAGCUGGGGAAAGGUCAAGCAAUGGAGACCUGGCGUGUACCGCUGUUGGAACCGCGAUCCGGGCAUGUUUCCACACGUGGGUGAGUGAGUCGGGGCAGUAAAAGAGCGGGUGUGAGACGGGGGAGAAGCCUGGCAGAAAAGUGGCUCUGAGGUGAAAUACGCUGAAAGGUUGCGGCAUGGAGUUGUGGGUAGAUUGCCACCGAGCACGCAAAACACAGUGACGUUUCCAGCUGCUGAGAGGACACUCCGUACGGACUCCCGGCAACGGCUUUGGGGCCUGACAUUUGACAUUUAGCGAGGAGGCUCCUUGUGAGCUCUGCA